rnacentral:rRNA from 1 species
AUGAACGCCGUCGCCGAGGAUGCCGUGGCAUCUAGUACCAAUAUUCAUCAGAUUCAGGAGGGUGACCUCGUUAGGGUCGGGCCGAAUGGCGACCAUGGCAUGGUGGCCCAUCUCCCGGAGCUAUACUACACCGGCCAACCUCUUCUCCCAGCUGCCACGUUCAGGAUUUUCCGUGUCGACGGCACAAUGGAGACCGCAGAGGCACGCGACAUCACCAUCAUAGACAGGGGCUACUUCCGCAGUGGCCAAUUCGUCGUGUCGGCGUCAGAUAUUCAUGGUCGGGUCGGCGUCGUCACGGAAUCCAACACCACGCUCGACCUCGUGAAGGUCGUCAGCCACGGGGAGCCACCGGUCAUGGCGAUGAGCGGGGUGGCGCCGGGAUGCCUGCGGCGCGUCCGAGAGCUCUGCCUCGGCGACUUCGUCGUGUCCGGGUCGUCAAGGUGCCCCUCGAGCUCGGCGUGGUGUUUGACGAUGGCGCCCUCUGCAAGCUUCUACCCGGGCCUGCGUGUCACCUCGCGGGCGGACGGCUUCAAGUACUGUCGGUGGCUUCGUGGAUACUGGAAGCCCAGCCGCAAAGUGGGCACCAUCGCCAAGGUUCAGAUGACGGGAGCACUCGUCCACUGGAUCGCCUCUGCACACCACGGCGCCGACCAGUGGCUCGUCCAGGAGUCCGCUCCUCCGGCCUACCAGGAUCCUGCCGAUUUGACCUUCUUCUGCUCCGCCUACGAUUGCUACUGGGGCCCGACCCGGAAGCUCCUCCAGCUGGAUGGGCGUAGGCGGACGCGGCAGAGGCAGCCGGUGGAGGUCGAGCAACCCAUGAGCGUCGCCAGCACCCGCACCACCGUCGACGUGCUCUGGCAGGACGGCACGAGCCAGAGUGGGGUGCCGUCCACUGCUCUUCUCCCCUACCAGAUGACGAGCGAGCACGAGUUCUUCCCGGGCUUCUACGUUGUCGACGGCGUGGCGCCCGCAGCUGAUGCUGUAGCCGUCGUAGACGAUGCUACUGAACAGACGACUGAGAAGAAGCGCGUCGGCGUUGUCCGAUGCGUGAAUUCCGAGGACCAAACAGUAGGUGUGUCGUGGUUGACAGAGGCCACAGAGAUCGACACCCUGAGCGCCUACGACUUGGCAUUGCAACCAGGUCCCCAUGUUUUCUACGGACGUGUCGUCGUACGCCGGCCGCCAUCGGGAUGUCCUCCUGACGAUGCCGCUGCUACCGAUCUUUCAUGGGUCGGCCAUGUUGUUGACCUCGUUGACGGCCGUGUCCAAGUUAAGUGGGCCGACAACACUGUGUCAUUGGUGUUGCCCCAUGAGAUUAGUAUCGUCACUGAGCAGUACUUCUGGGAACUAGAGGCUGAAAUGGGCGGUGUCGGCGAUGACUGGGUGGAGGUUAACAGCGUCGACGAUGAGUGCGAAGACGAGGAUUCAGCAAAUAGUGCGUACAAUGAACUGCAAAACCCACCUGAACGUAUCAAUGUCCAGGGUGACAUUGAUUCAGCGACUGAGGAGGACGACGAUUCGGUGGAUGAAGAUGACAGUGCAGCAACAAAAGCAAGCCGGAAGGGUGCUAUCAUCGAGUAUAUGUCCCAACUGGGACACCAAGUGUUGGCUCAAACCAUGAGAUAUUUUGGCAACAGGUUGUUGUUGUCGUCACUGGGCUCGGAAUUAGCUGGAGCGACGGCCAACGAGGGAGCAAAUGUGGCUGUAACCGAUGGUCAUCACAGUACAAGCAAUCAUGAUGUGAUUCACGCCAUGGCGGCUGCACUAACCAGCAGCGACACAUGUACAAAUGAUGACGACUGUGCCGAGAGGGGCAAAAAUAUUGAACAAGCCACCGGUGAUGAAGAUCAGUUUCGCUUCCCAUAUUUUGAUGUUACACAUAGUCCUCUUGAUCACCAUUACAUCGACAAUGCGGGGCAGGGCACUAGUGGUGGAAAGAGGUGGGUGAAGGCGGUGCAAAAAGAAUGGAAAAUACUGGAGAACAACAACUUGCCAGACACCAUAUAUGUGCGCGUGUUCGAGGACCGCAUGGACCUGCUCAGGGCCGUGAUAGUUGGUGCGAGCGGGACACCCUACCACGACGGGCUCUUCUUCUUCGACCUGCACCUGCCGCCAUCCUAUCCUGAUAUGCCUCCGAUGGUGUACUACCACUCAUUCGGUCUUCGCCUCAACCCCAACCUCUACAACUCUGGCACAGUGUGCCUCAGCCUUCUCAACACCUUUGGUGGAGAGGCAUCUGAAGUCUGGUCACCAUCUACAUCAAGUCUCCUACAGGCCGUCGUCUCUAUACAGGGUCUUAUACUCAACGACCAACCAUACUACAAUGAGGUCGGUUAUCAGGCCCCAGUUGACAAGCCAGAGGGAUGCCGCAACGCACUGCCAUACAAUGAAAAUGCUUACUUGCUCACCCUUUGGACGAUGCUCCACUUGUUCUGCCGACCGCCAUGUGGAUUUGAGGGAUUCAUUAAGGAUCACUUCUGCCGCCGAGGGAGGUUCAUUCUUCGAGCAUGUGAGGCAUACCUCAGAGGGUGUGUAGUUGGCAUGCUCGAUGGUGAUGCAUGCGCCACCAAGGGAAGCAAGGACGAUAGAUCAUGCUCAGCCGGGUUAAGACUGGCGCUUUCCAACAUGCUGCCGAAGCUCGUGGCAGCACUAGCAGAGAUUGGCGCCGAGGGGUGUGAGUGUGACCAGUUCCACGAGCUGCAUGACCUUCUUAUCGGCGGCGAUCGAGUGCAACGUUGCUCACUAAAUUAUCAAGUGCACUAG